rnacentral:rRNA from 1 species
GCGGAGGAAAAGAAACUAACAAGGAUUCCCCUAGUAACUGCGAGUGAAGCGGGAAAAGCUCAAAUUUAAAAUCUGGUGGUCUUUGGCCAUCCGAGUUGUAAUUUAGAGAAGUGUCUUCCGCGCUGGACC